rnacentral:tRNA from 1 species
AGAGUGUAGCUCAGUGAUAGAGCACAUGCUUAGCAUACAUGAGGUCCUGGAUUCAAUCCCCAGUAUCUCUA